rfam:Heterocephalus glaber contig30478, whole genome shotgun sequence.
AUACUCUGGUUUCUCUUCAGAUCGUAUAAAUCUUUCGCCUUUUACUAAAGAUUUCCGUGGAGAGGAACAAUUCUGAGUCUAAACCCAAUUUUUUGAAGCCUUGCUUUUUUUUUUAGCAGGGCU